rnacentral:rRNA from 1 species
GACGAACGCUGGCGGCGUGCUUAACACAUGCCAGUCGAACGGAAAGGCCCUGCUUUUGUGGGGUGCUCGAGUGGCGAACGGGUGAGUAACACGUGAGUAACCUGCCCUUGACUUUGGGAUAACUUCAGGAAACUGGGGCUAAUACCGGAUAGGAGCUCCUGCUGCAUGGUGGGGGUUGGAAAGUUUCGGCGGUUGGGGAUGGACUCGCGGCUUAUCAGCUUGUUGGUGGGGUAGUGGCUUACCAAGGCUUUGACGGGUAGCCGGCCUGAGAGGGUGACCGGCCACAGUGGGACUGAGAUGCGGCCCAGACUCCUACGGGAGGCAGCAGUGGGGAAUAUUGCACGAUGGGCGGAAGCCGGAUGCAGCAACGCCGCGUGCGGGAUGACGGCCUUCGGGUUGUAAACCGCUUUCGCCUGUGACGAAGCGUGAGUGACGGUAAUGGGUAAAGAAGCACCGGCUAACUACGUG